AAGAAGUUGAUGGUGUACAUUGAUGUUCAGAUAAAACGGCUAAAAAGAGCAGGAAGAAAAGUGAGUGAGAAAGUUUCCUCAUCGACUGACAGCACUUAAUCUGAAGUCAGCAUCUGGAAAUCUGACACAAUGAACCGUCCACAGGGCUACAUAGAAGACUCACUGAGGGUCACAACAGUAAAAUGUCUGAGGCUGAUGCAAUAGUGUACUCUGAUGUUAAGUUCCCAAGACCGAAGAUAAACACCAGUGGGACCGUUUCCUCAGAGGCUGAACCCACAUACUCUGAAGUCAGGAUCUUGAAGACUCAGCCAUCCACAGAGCUCCCUGGUUCCCAACAACACCCAGUGUCAAAUGGAGGGUCGAAGGUCACACCAGAGAGAGUGGUCAUAGUAGUUCUCAGUGCUCUCCUGGUAGCUGCUGUCAUCACUCUCGGCUUUACCUGUGAGUUUGUUCUUUUUAAAGUGAAUUCAUCUGGAUUGAUUUAUAA
rnacentral:lncRNA from 15 species